GAUGAACGCUGGCGGCGUGCUUAACACAUGCAAGUCGAACGGAAAGGCCCUGCUUUUGUGGGGUGCUCGAGUGGCGAACAGGUGAGUAACACGUGAGUAACCUGCCCUUGACUUUCGGAUAACUUCAGGAAACUGGGGCUCAUACCGGAUAGGAGCUCCUGCUGCAUGGUGGGGGUUGGAAAGUUUCGGCGGUUGGGGAUCGACUCGCGGCUUAUCAGCUUGUUGGUGGGGUAGUUGCUUACCAAGGCUUUGACGGGUAGCCGGCCUGAGAGGGUGACCGGCGACAAUGGGACUGCGAUACGGAGCAGACUCCUACGGGAGGCAGCAGUGGGGAAUAUGGCACAAUGGGGGGAAGCCUGAUGCAGCGACGCCGCGUGCGGGAUGACGGCUUUCGGGUUGUAAACCUAUUUCGCCUGUGACGAAGCGUGAGUGACGGUAAUGGGUAAAGAAGCACCGGCUAACUACGUG
rnacentral:rRNA from 1 species